GACGAACGCUGGCGGCGUGCUUAACACAUGCAAGUCGAGCGAUGAAGUUCCUUCGGGAACGGAUUAGCGGCGGACGGGUGAGUAACACGUGGGUAACCUGCCUCGUAGAGGGGAAUAGCCUUUCGAAAGGAAGAUUAAUGCCCCAUAAGAUUGUAGUACCGCAUGGUAUAGCAAUUAAAGGAGUAAUCCGCUAUGAGAUGGACCCGCAUCGCAUUAGCUAGUUGGUGAGGUAACGGCUCACCAAGGCGACGAUGCGUAGCCGACCUGAGAGGGUGAUCGGCCGCAUUGGGACCGAGACACGGCCCAGACUCCUGCGGGAGGCAGCAGUGGGGAAUAUUGCACAAUGGGGGAAGCCCUGCUGGAGCAACGCCGCGUGAGUGAUGACGGUCUUCGGAUUGUAAAACUCUGUCUUCAGGGACGAGACUGACGGGACCUGAGGAGGAAGCCACGGCUAACUACGUGCCAUCCGCCGCGGUAA
rnacentral:rRNA from 1 species